rnacentral:tRNA from 1 species
CGGAAAGUAGUUCAGUGGAAGAAUAUCUGCUUUGGGAGCAGGGGGCCGUACGUUCAAAUCGUAUCUUUCCGU